UACAGAGGGGGCAAGCGUUUAUUCGGAAUUAUUGGGCGUAAAGCGCACGUAGGCGGCUUUGCAAGUCGGAUGUGAAAUCCCUCGGCUUAACCAAGGAAGUGCAUCCGAAACUGCAGAGCUUGAGUACUUAAGAGGAUCGCGGAAUUCCCGGUGUAGAGGUGAAAUUCGUAGAUAUCGGGAGGAACACCAGUGGCGAAGGCGGCGAUCUGGGAAGAUACUGACGCUGAGGUGCGAAAGCGUGGGGAGCAAACAGG
rnacentral:rRNA from 1 species